GGGGCCUGUGCUUCCAGCGGGUGGUGGGGGGCCUGGUGUGCUGGCAUCAAGUAAGCCGACUACCUCGGCAAAGGCUUAGGGACAAGAGACCAGCAGCCUGAACUGGCUGGGGCAUCCGGAAGGCUUAGAUCUUGUGGCCAAGAGUUCAGACCGUGGCGAAGUGGAGAGUGACAUGCAGUUGGAUGGCGGUGACUGCGUGAUGAUGUCAGAAGUGGGAUCCAAAGUAGAGCUUAUAAUGACACCUAGGAGUGCUGAGUGACCAAGCAAGGUACCCACCAGGCCGAUUAUGUCCAUUGUUCUCUUGGAGCAGCUGGUCAUCAUGGGAAAGGGUGCCACACUGGGAAUGCAAGCUGUCCUUGCUUCUGAACCAAGACUACUAUUGUGCCAGGAAGAGGGUGGGAAAAGAGAAACCAAAAUCAUGGUAUUCUGAAGACCAGAGAUAUGAAUCUCCUUCAUUUGGCAUCCCACCGGCCCCGAUCUGUUUCACUGCUAAUGUUCUGCUGCCAAAACUAUACAAGCUGCCUCACCCCUAGGCCCAGGGACUAUCACAGAAGAGGGGUAAUUUAAUAAGACAUGUAAUUUUAAGGCUCAGAGACCACAUCAUUGAACAUCUAUGUGCGCAUCCUGGAGAAGUCCCACUUACUGAAAGCCAAUAAAACUUUUCUUUUGAGUGAUUUGCAGCUUUUAACAAACUGAACCUGCUUAUUUCUGUGAACCAACCAGUGAUCUCUUAUGGCUGUUCAAAAGUAACAAGAGAGAUAUCACCUUUUGUCAUAACUCAAGUCUUAUGAAUGGCCCUCACCAUAAUGAUGCUUUUUGACUGAGCUC
rnacentral:lncRNA from 1 species